CAGACGCGUACGUGUGCGGUGCACAGCAGAGAGAACCUACGGCUUCAAACGCUGGCAUUUACCCGUGAAGGACCCUGUGCCACACGUUUCCGCCACGCUUCAGAUCCACAGUGCAAGGUGAACAUUGCUAAAUAUAAAACAAUCACAUUGAUCCUGCGCCGAAGCAUUUCUGUCCUCGGGCGAGCGCCACCACGCACUUCUGAACAGCUCGGGUCAACAAAACAGUGAAUGGGGGAAUUUUUCAUGGAAGAAACUGGUAAAUUGCAACGCUUCCCACGAGCAGAGUUCCAGGCAUAUGCAGAUUCCAUGCCAAGGCCCACUGAAGCUGAUCUGUUUGGUCUAAACAUGUUCUACCCAGGAAUAUAACCCAGACAAGUUACAUGAACCAAAGAAAUUAACAAUUAACAGCUGAAAAGUACUGGUAAAGUCUUCUGAGAAAUAAAUGG